rnacentral:lncRNA from 1 species
AUUUUUUGUGUGAAUUAACGAUCACUAAGCCCUGGGUCCUGUGCAAUGCUAUUAGCUCGCUGUAUGUUUCUUGCGGUGCGCCGUUGUUGAUUAUCGUAGUGCGGUCCACACGCGCUUUCUUUGUGCCCGGCUCAUGAGAAGUGUUGUACUCUCGCCGCUCCCGCAUCGGCUCACAGUGCACGGAAGAAUGUGUUGAUAGUUGUGCUAUCGCGUACUGUAGUUCACCGCAAUUCAACACUACGCUGGACGGACUGUUCGUGCAGUCGAUGCGGCGUGAACGGACACGAAGGAGCGCUCGCCUCAGAAGGGAUGUCACAAUUUCCUGAGACGGAGGCAUCUCUGCACCACAAAGGAGACUGCGGCACUAUGCAGCCUGAACAGCACGACAAAGCAUCUGAUCUGCCUGCUUUGACAAGAUGUGGCUGGGCCUGCAGAAAGAGUGUAAGCAGACUACAGUGUUGCUGAUCAGUGCUGGUGCUGAUCUCUACGUCUGAGUUGGCCUCACAACGUCCAGGCGCCACUGUGCUUUGC